rnacentral:rRNA from 1 species
UACGGAGGGGGCUAGCGUUGUUCGGAAUUACUGGGCGUAAAGCGCGCGUAGGCGGACCUGCAAGUCGGGGGUGAAAGCCCGAGGCUCAACCUCGGAACUGCCUUCGAUACUGCGGGUCUCGAGUCCGGGAGAGGUGAGUGGAAUUCCUAGUGUAGAGGUGAAAUUCGUAGAUAUUAGGAAGAACACCAGUGGCGAAAGGCGGCUCACUGGCCCGGUACUGACGCUGAGGUGCGAAAGCGUGGGGAGCAAACAGG